AGUCCCGUGGUGUAGUGGUCUUGCAUUUACCCCUCCGGAGGGUGAGGUCGCGCGUUCGAUCCGCGCCGGGAUCG